CUAAGUCUCAUUUACAACCCUGAACCCCCCAAUAUUAUUUGAUCUUGGAAAUUAAACAGGUUGGGCCUAGUCAGUACUGGAGUGGGAGAAAUGAUGUCUUCUUGACAAAAAUAUCUAGUGAAGGUCAGGGAGAUAGC
rnacentral:rRNA from 1 species